rnacentral:rRNA from 1 species
GGAGUUAGCCGGUGCUUCUUCUGCGAGUAACGUCACAGAUGUAAGGUAUUAACUUACACCCUUUCCUCCUCGCUGAAAGUGCUUUACAACCCGAAGGCCUUCUUCACACACGCGGCAUGGCUGCAUCAGGGUUUCCCCCAUUGUGCAAUAUUCCCCACUGCUGCCUCCCGUAGGAGUCUGGGCCGUGUCUCAGUCCCAGUGUGGCUGAUCAUCCUCUCAGACCAGCUAGGGAUCGUCGCCUAGGUGAGCCUUUACCUCACCUACUAGCUAAUCCCACCUGGGCUUAUCCAUCAGCGCAAGGCCCGAAGGUCCCCUGCUUUCCCCCGUAGGGCGUAUGCGGUAUUAGCAGUCGUUUCCAACUGUUAUCCCCACAAAUGGGCAAAUUCCCAGGCAUUACUCACCCGUCCGCCGCUCGUCAUCUUCAAAAGCAAGCUUUUGAAAUGUUACCGCUCGACUUGCAUGUGUAGCUGCCGCCAGCGUCAUCUGAGCAUAAUACAACUACUGA